rnacentral:rRNA from 1 species
CCCUUAGAUGUUCUGGGCCGCACGCGUGCUACACUGAGUGGAUCAGCGGGUCAGGUUGCGCGAAAGUGUUUCCUAAUCUUGAAAUCCGCUCGUGAUGGGGAUUGACGGUUGCAAUUUUCCGUCUUGAACGAGGAAUACCUUGUAAGCGCGGGUCAUCAUCCCGCGCUGAAUACGUCCCUGCCCUUUGUACACACCGCCCGUCGCUCCUACCGAUUGAGUGGUCCGGUGAGGCUUUGGGAUCUGAGCGGAAAGAGCGUUUCGCUGUUUCUGCUCGGAAAACUCAGUCGAACCUUAUCAUUUAGAGGAAGGAGAAGUCGUAACA